UCAUCACCAACUACAGCAAGUGUACUGUACACGUAAUGUUCGUCUCCUCUCACAACCUAUCCAGCAGUUUCCAAGGGAUAUGUAGCAUGAAAAUUUACAAGAAAAGAUAAGGAAAUAUUAACUUUUUUAUAUUUGGUAUAUAUGUAUACUAAUAUACUACUGUGCAUGUACAUGGUAUAUAACAAAAUGUAUUGUACUUUGUGACUAUACUACUGAUGUAUACUGUGUAUGUUACUAUACUGUACAGCACUAAUUUUAAUAUUUUCAUUACAGAAUAUGUAACUACUGUACAGAAUUCGUCAUCAACUUCAGUAUACAUUGUGUAAUCCCUUGAAAAAUGGCCCCAACAUUUUACCAGGGGUUAUGGAGCAUGACAAUUUCAAAACAGCAAAAUUCAUCAGUAACAGUAAAUAUCCUGUUCAUACCAGAACACUUGGAUUACAAUAACAACAUGGAAUGAUAUGUACAUAUUGUUAGAAGACUCCCAGAGGAUUAAAGGUGAGGCUUUCAUCAUUUUAUAGUACAGUAUAUUGUACUUAAAGUACUACUGAACUAAAUCCUAUAUUUAAAAUAUGGCUUGAAUUACGUCACCAAAACGGGUUACAUUUCAGC